UUGGGAUCCAAGCUACCCCAAGACGAGCCCAGAAUUAUCGCCCCUUCGCACCAAGCUGAGCUCGGUAACUGCCCUCUCCAGUCCCUGCGUUUUUCUUUCAAGCCCCAAUCACAACUUUGAUUUUCGCCUGCCAAGGAUCAGCUAAAUAAAAGGAAAAGGAGGGGGGGAAAAGGAAGAAGCAGCAGCGGUAUUACCCACCAGCUUCGGAGUCGUAGGCAUCCUUUGCUGAAGGCAACUAGCAUUUUGUGAGACUCCACGAGGGACCACAAACACAGGUGGCUCUGGCCGCACCAAGGAACGAAGCGAAACAUUUCUCACCGGCCCAGCCACUAGUUCAGUUGCAGUGAGGAUGUCUCGAUGCAGAUUAGGAACCGGCAGUCACAGCAGUGAAAUAGACUAUUUUCCCCAUUGACAUGCUGAGCUGCUUUCUGGAGUUUUAAGGUGUUGGGUGCUGAUACGGUGAGUGCCUCUUGUAUCUGUUUAAUCCAAUAACAUAACUCUUUUUUAAUCUCCAUGUCUGGGUCACAGGGUUUAAAAAAGACACUGGGCCAAAUCCCCAGCUUGGCUACAACGUGUGGAAAUCUACCAAGAAGGCACGGAAGUCAGAAGAGAUUCACCGUAUUUGCAUCCUGUAAAAGAGGUCUCGAGGGGCAGGGAUGCAAGUGCCUGAUUUCGCAGAUGGGUGCAUAUUAACAUGAGUGUAUGGCAGAGUUAGAUCAGAUUUCUAUCAGGUGAGGUGGAUGGAGGGAGGGAUAUCACACCAGGAUCUAAAAUAAGCUCAUCAGCAAAUUCUCAUUCAUUUUAAAUUCGGAAUGGAUUCAAUAUUUCUUGCUUUUUUUCAGGAAAACACACUCGUUUCUUUUCAAUGUGUGGCUGCUAAAGGGAACAUAGUGUUUCAUGGACUCAGGACCAAGGCAGGGCAAGAACAAGAGGAAGGUUUUGCAGGGACUGGGAAGAUUUUACAUAUAAACAUCAAAAUAAAAAAAGCAAAAUUUAUCCAGGCAUAAAGUCCAGCAGAAAUCCAGGGGACAAGUGGACACCACUGCCUGUAAAGAAGGGUAUAAGCAAGAAUGGAGGAAAGAUGCUCUGAGUAAGUCCAUCACAUUAAUGAUUCUCCAAACACGGAUUUCCUUUACAAAGCUAUAUGGGAGUAAUCUUCUGGGUUCCCCUCUAUGGCAAAGGGUCCUGAGCUUGAAAAAGGGAGGCAGAUUUUGUGAGGGGUUUGCACAUCAUGCAGUGACUCUGGAUUGCAGAUUUUGAGCAUUACUAAACCGGGGAACAGAAUUGUUGCUAUUGCUAUUACAUACCAGGAUAUCUCACUAAUCCACACAAUCCACUAAGUUGCUGUAGUUUUAGUCUGUGUUUAUUUUAGAUGAAAUUAUGGCCUGUACAGGUCAUUUUUCUUAGUUUACCCAUUUAAAUAAUGUAUAAAUAAGAUAUCAAACAGAAAUCAAAACAUGACCUGUGCUUUUGGUACACUCCCCAUCGUGUGAACCUGCCGAUGAUGGAGCCUUGCACCCAGUUUACAAGUCAAACACAAAGGCAACUAAAAACCACAGGUCAUCUUGAAAAGUAGCCCCACUGGCAUGAAAUUCUCUGAUUUUAGUGCUGUGGGUGGCCUAUUUUGCUUAUAUUUGAGACUGCCUAGCCAUUAUGGGAUUGCCUCCACCAGUCCUUUCCUUACAUCAAGUUAAUUACAUAUUAACUUGAGGCACUUAGCAAGUCUGAAAGGCUGGAGCAGGUCCUUUCUGAACACCAGUCGAGUUUAGAAAUGCCUGUUCAUUUACAGGGGCUGAUUCCUAAAGUGAGGGGCAAACCCCGCAGAACCGAAGAGCCUGGAACCAAAGUGGUCACACUGGCUUUUGGAGAAAGUGAAGUGUCUCAAGUUAAUUGGCAGUCAUUUACCUGGAAACAAAAAACUCUCAUAUAUCCAAAGGUUUUCACCGGGAUUUUCAAGAGCUCCUGAGCAAUUUAAAGUCCUUAAAAGGAAUGAACUAUAGAAUGAAAAAUAUAGGUAUUAUUUAAUAAUGUCUUCAAACUGAAAGCCAGCCAGUUUCAUAAAAAUGAGCUAAAAACCAAUAACAGGUACUCUGUCUCUUGCCGGAUGCUGUACGAAGCGUAUGUUUUGCAUUUUUGGAGUCACUUCUAAACCAAUGUUUUUUUCUUCACUGUUGCUGUUGGGAAAAACAGUAAAAGAACUAUGCAUAAAUGAGGCUAAAGUAAUCUCAUUAAAAAAAUAAACAGCGUGCUUUCAUCUUCAAUUCAUAUCCAGUCAUUUGGGAUCGAACUUUAAGAAAAAAUAGAUAAAAAUUCAGAAAGGAUUUUGAAGGAUGACUGUUUCCCUUUAAGAUUAAUGAUAAACAUACUUGCGUGUUCAAGGGAGAAUAGAUCCAGUGUUAUGUAACAGGAUAAAGAAACAAAAUCCUUUUUCCUUAAAUUAAAAUAACCAGUAUGUGUGUGGAUUUUAGUCAAUCACUGAAAAUUCAGGAAAACCAUUUUCUUUCACAAUUGCAUUCCACACACUAAAAUUGAUGUCUUGUAACUUUUAAACAGAAUCACAACAAUUAAAGACAAAAAAGAUUUGUUUGUUCUGUUCAACCAUGCUUUGCCAAUAGAGGAUUGUUCCCUGAGGAAAAUUCUGCAGCACUUGCCCUGUGCAAAAAUCCAAAUUUGUGCUCGUGUUUUUAUUUUACGUGGCAUUAGUAAAUCCAGUUAUUGCACUUCCCGUUUUUUUUUCUUUUUAAUCUGCUUACCUAGUACUAGAUGUAUGGUAACUUAUCUCUUUUAA